CGCGAAACCUUUACACUGCACGCAAGUGCGAUAAGGGGACCCCGAGUGCGAGGGCAUACAGUCCUCGCUUUUCACUACCGUACGAUGGUAGUGGAAUAAGAGCUGGGCAAGACCGGUGCCAGCCGCCGCGGUAAUACCGGCAGCUCGAGUGAUGGCCGAUCUUAUUGGGCCUAAAGCGUUCGUAGCCGGCCACACAAGUCCACCGGGAAAUCCGCCAGCCCAACUGGCGGGCGUCCGGUGGAAACUGUGUGGCUAGGGACCGGAAGACCCGAAGGGUACGUCUUGGGUAGGAGUGAAAUCCUGUAAUCCUGGACGGACCGCCGAUAGCGAAAGCACUUCGGGAAGACGGAUCCGACGGUGAGGGACGAAAGCCAGGGUCUCGAACCGGAUUAGAUACCCGGGUAGUCCUGGCCGUAAACGAUGUCUGCUAGGUGUGGCUCCCACUACGAGUGGGUGCUGUGCCGUAGGGAAGCCGCUAAGCAGACCGCCUGGGAAGUACGUCCGCAAGGAUGAAACUUAAAGGAAUUGGCGGGGGAGCACUACAACCGGAGGAGCCUGCGGUUUAAU
rnacentral:rRNA from 1 species